AUGUAUCCCCAUACACUGCGGUUCCUGCGCGCCGCGCGCACCCGCCUGACAGCCGCUCGCUACGUUUUCUUAGCC
rnacentral:sRNA from 1 species